CAGGACCGCGCGCGGCGCAUUCCGCCCGGACCAGAAGCGUCUCUCAUCUGUGAAGACAUGAAUGGGUCAUAAAAAAUAGGAAAAGAUAUUAGCCCUCACUAUCAAGAAAGAAAUGAAACUCGAAACCGGAAAAAGUGAUACACUGGAAACAAGAUCAAUGUUCAUCAUUAAGGGGCUCAAACUAAACUGUCACAGUGAAUAGAAUAUUAUGCAGCCAUUAAAAAUGAAGUGUAUUUACUGGAGAGAUGUUCACAAUGUAUUGUUAUGUGAAGAAAGUUAUAAGCCAACGUGUCUGGAAGGACCUAUCGAGAAUGUUAGCAGUGGUUCUCUCCAGAUGUUUUAUUAGUCACUUUUUUACUUUCUACUUCAAACCUGUAAGUACUGUCUGAGUUUUAACAAUGAGGAAUUAUUACCUCUUUUGUUAACAAAUUAAUAAACGCAUGGUGAAAUAAAGUUUUAAUCUUUUGGAAA